GUGGGGAUGAAGAUGACAACUUCCAGGAUUCCACACUCAGUCACGGACUUGUUUAUUUCCUGGAAAAUGAAAGUAUCGCAUCCAGCAAGAGCUUUGUGAAACUGAAACUCACGGUGAAACUGAAACUCACGGUGAAAUUGUCGGUGGUCCUGCAAGAGCCUGAGAAGUAGCCAAGAACGAACCUCUGAUACAUUUGCUGAAAUCACUUUAAAACACAUUUUUAUUUCCUCCAAACAGAGUUCUAGCUUUCAUUUGACCACUGGACAAAGAUCAAGUUGGAUCAUUCUGAAAAAUUUUUGGUCUGCCGGAGAAACCCAUCCUCCUUCUCAAUGGAAACGUCAUUCUGUUACCCCAGUUUUCUACCUGACACAGAAAGCAUAAUGUCUGUGAUGCAUGAACUGAAGGAAAAGAACUUAACAGACAACACCCUUCUC
ensembl:lncRNA